GCGGCGGACGGGUGAGUAACACGUGGGCAACCUGCCUAUAAGACUGGGAUAACUUCGGGAAACCGGAGCUAAUACCGGAUAAUCCCUUUCCUCUCAUGAGGAAAGGCUGAAAGAUGGUUUACGCUAUCACUUAUAGAUGGGCCCGCGGCGCAUUAGCUAGUUGGUGAGGUAACGGCUCACCAAGGCAACGAUGCGUAGCCGACCUGAGAGGGUGAUCGGCUACACUGGGACUGAGACACGGCCCAGACUCCUACGGGAGGCAGCAGUAGGGAAUCUUCCGCAAUGGACGAAAGUCUGACGGAGCAACGCCGCGUGAGUGAUGAAGGUUUUCGGAUCGUAAAACUCUGUUGUUAGGGAAGAACAAGUACGAGAGUAACUGCUCGUACCUUGACGGUACCUAACCAGAAAGCCACGGCUAACUACGUGCCAGCAGCCGCGGUAAUACGUAGGUGGCAAGCGUUGUCCGGAAUUAUUGGGCGUAAAGCGCGCGCAGGCGGUCCUUUAAGUCUGAUGUGAAAGCCCACGGCUCAACCGUGGAGGGUCAUUGGAAACUGGGGGACUUGAGUACAGAAGAGAAGAGUGGAAUUCCACGUGUAGCGGUGAAAUGCGUAGAGAUGUGGAGGAACACCAGUGGCGAAGGCGACUCUUUGGUCU
rnacentral:rRNA from 1 species